UUUGGGAUUAGCAUCCUGUCACCAGGUAGCUGCCUUCUGUACCCCCCAUUGUAACACGUGUGUAGCCCCGGACGUAAGGGCCGUGCUGAUUUGACGUCAUCCCCACCUUCCUCACAUCUUACGACGGCAGUCUCUCUAGAGUCCUCAGCAUAACCUGUUAGUAACUAAAGAUAAGGGUUGCGCUCGUUAUGGCACUUAAGCCGACACCUCACGGCACGAGCUGACGACAACCAUGCAGCACCUUCACAACAGCCUUACGGCUAUACUGUUUCCAAUAUAUUCAGUUGCAAUUUAAGCCCGGGUAAGGUUCCUCGCGUAUCAUCGAAUUAAACCACAUGUUCCUCCGCUUGUGCGGGCCCCCGUCAAUUCCUUUGAGUUUCACCGUUGCCGGCGUACUCCCCAGGUGGAAUACUUAAUGCUUUCGCUUGGCCGCUUACUGUAUAUCGCAAACAGCGAGUAUUCAUCGUUUACUGUGUGGACUACCAGGGUAUCUAAUCCUGUUUGAUACCCACACUUUCGAGCAUCAGUGUCAGUWACAGUCYAGUGAGCUGCCUUCGCAAUCGGAGUUCUUCGUGAUAUCUAAGCAUUUCACCGCUACACCACGAAUUCCGCCCACCUCUACUGUACUCAAGACWGCCAGUUUCAACUGCAAUUUUACGGUUGAGCCGCAAACUUUCACAACUGACUUAACAGUCCACCUACGCUCCCUUUAAACCCAAUAAAUCCGGAUAACGCUCGGAUCCUCCGUAUUACCGCGGCUGCUGGCACGGAGUUAGCCGAUCCUUAUUCAUAUGGUACAUACAAAAUUCCACACGUGGAAAACUUUAUUCCCAUAUAAAAGAAGUUUACAACCCAUAGGGCCUUCAUCCUUCACGCUACUUGGCUGGUUCAGGCUCUCGCCCAUUGACCAAUAUUCCUCACUGCUGCCUCCCGUAGGAGUUUGGACCGUGUCUCAGUUCCAAUGUGGGGGACCUUCCUCUCAGAACCCCUAUCCAUCGUAGNCUUGGUGGGCCGUUAC
rnacentral:rRNA from 1 species